AUUGAACGCUGGCGGGAUGCCUUACACAUGCAAGUCGAACGGAGUGGCGAACGGGUGAGUAAUGUAUCGGAACGUGCCCAGUAGCGGGGGAUAACUACGCGAAAGCGUAGCUAAUCCCGCAUACUAUUGGAGCGGCCGGUUUCGGAGUAGCUAUUUGGAGGGGUAACGGCUCACAAAGGCGACGAGCCGGAGCUUGUUUGAGAGGACGACCAGCCACACUGGGACGGAGACACGGGCCAGACGCCGACGGGAGGCAGCAGUGGGGAAUUGUGGACAAUGGUGGCAACCCUGAUCCAGCCAUCCCGCGUGUGCGAUGAAGGCCUUCGGGUUGUAAAGCACUUUUGGCAGGCAAGCGGUACCUGCAGAAGAAGCACCGGCUAACUACGUGCCAGCAGCCGCGGUAAUUC
rnacentral:rRNA from 1 species